UCAAUGAAAAAAGACCAGCGAAAAAAGACCUACGAAAGAAGACCUACGAAAGAAAAAACAACGACAAAAAAUCAGGAGACUCGCACGCAUGAGCGAGGCCUCCAGAUCCCUUCGCCACCGCCCGACGCCGCCAGCCCCGUCCACCUCCCUGGCUCCCGGCGGCGCCCGCUCCCCAUCUCCUCCUGCGAUCCUGGCGUCGCCUCGCCCCACCUUCUCCCUCACUCCCGGCACCACCCCGCCCCCACCUUCUCCCUCACCACUGGCGCCGCCCAACCCCCAACCUUCCUGGAUCCCGGUGCUGCCCCGCCCCCACCUCCUCCCUCGCUCCCGACCGCCCAUGCCGCCUAUGCGCGCCCCUCCCUCAGCCCACCGGCGACCUCCCAUCCUCCACCGUCUACCCCACCGUCGGAUCUCCUCCUCCCCUCUCCUUCUCUCCCUCGCGGAUGCGUCAAACGCACAAAAUUUCCCUCCUCGCGGCCAGAACCCUAGCUCGUGCCUGUGGGGACUGGGCUGGAGGUGCGGCACGGGAUUCGCACCGCAAGAUUCGCCAGCGAUGAGUCCAACAGGUCGUCGAAUCAGGGAACGGGAUGGCGCACCCUGCUGCAGCCGCCGGUCGGGACGAGCGCGGCGGCGAUGAACGUCAGUGCGCCUCCAUUUUCUCGACCUCCAAGGACGCGGGCGCCGGAUUUGUUCUCGCCUGACCAGCCUCGGUAUCCAACUCCCUACAGCCACCACCGGCAUUGACUCCCAAGGCGAGGAUGACGACGCUGCCAAAGAUGACGAGGCCCCGAGCUCGAGCAUGACCACUACGACACACUGCACAAAGGCCCCUGCUUCCUGCCCGCCCUUCCCUUUGCUUGGAAGAUAGCUCUCUCCAGAUGUUGUUCCUGUCCUUCUCCUUGGUUGUUGAGCGCUGCACUCACUCAUGUAUGCAGGUUGAGUCCAAGCACAAGUAAGCACCAUUAUUAGGUGAGAAGACGACGGUGACGCAGAGGAGGAUGAGGACCCGCGCUCCAGCCCGACCACGACUAUGCACCGCACGGUCCCUGCUUCCUGGCUGUCGCCAAUUACCCCCUUCCCUUUACAGUAUUACUCUAUUUGUUUUCAUUGCUUUUCACCUAGUUUUGCACACUUUCUGGCCCUUCAUUUUUUUGUGUGCAGAUGUUCUGAUCGCCUCCAUACGGUUGUUUCCGUCCUCCUGCUCGUGCUGUCUCCAUCCUCCUGCUCAAGUUGUCGCCGUCGCCUCCCAUCCUUCAUGGCCUGCGUGUGUGCGCCCACUGUUGGAGGACGAUGUUGAACAUGAAGCGGAGCCCAGCCGGAGCGGUCUGACGCGGUGGUCGUGGCCAAGGAGCGGUGGUCGAUGCCAUGGAGCAGGGGCCCUCGGUCGCCUGCACAUCGGCUGCAUUCCGAACUAAUGCUUUCUGCAACUGCAAUGUUCCCCUUCACAUUGUAUCUUGUGUAGGCAGAAGGAAUGCAGCUCAGUGACGGCGUCAGCUACAACUGGAUCGAUGUCCUGAAGGCUUUUACUAAGAAGAUGAAGAAUUUUCUAGAAUAGUGUCCAUCAACAAAGAGUCUUACUACUACCGGUUGGAGAGGCUCUAUCCUCAGGUGAUUGAUUACUUAAGAAGUAUACUGAAUUAUGAUAUCCAUCGAUCUAAUUUUGUAUAGGAAGUUUGAAAAACUAAAGAAUUUAUGGUACAUGAUUUGAUUUACUCAUUUAGAUUUUAGUAAAUUGUGACCGGAAGUUUUUUUUCACAAAACUAGUGCACCACCCUUUCUACACACAUCAUUCAUGGAUUGGCAGACUAAAGGUUCUAUUCAACAUCUUUGGUGGAUUGCAUAAAUGGGCUAGAGUAAAAAUAGACCAGAAUUGUUAUAUGUGCUUAGGGAAGUGGGAUUAGAUCAAGAUUUUUUUGACAAAAUGAGAAAUCAAUGGCUCAAGGAGAGUAAGCCCAAAGAGAUAAGUAUUGUUUUCCUUUAGUAGCUUGUUGCAUAAUUCAUUCAAACAUAUUUAGAGUGGAGCAGGAAUAUUCAAACAAGGAAAUGUACACAAUAUCUGUUAGUAUACAUGUGACACUUUCCCGUCUUUCGACUAAUGAUUGCCUCCUGCCAGGUAUCACUAAUAGCACAUUCAUCACAUCAUUUGUGUAGCUCAUUCUGGUGUAAGUCGGGCCAAUUUAGAAAAGAUUUUAAAGCAGAUUCAUACAGGUUAUAGAAGUCAGAGUCAAAUAGUAUAAUAAGUGAUUUGUUUCUGCAUAAUUUCUAAUUGAUCGUCUUCUAAGGAUAAAUGGAACUGCUACCUUUCCUCUCUCCAAUAAACUAUUAGACCCUGCUUGUAACUAUUUUUCAUCUUGGUGUGAUUUAUAAGGGAGGCCAUGCCAUUAGUUUUUUGUUAUUACAUGCUGUGAUGACCCCGAUUCAUUGAUGUAUAGUGUCGUAUGUUGUCAAUUACCUAAUAUGGUAGUAUCACUUCUCCUGGUUUGCCUUGGUCUGAAAUCUGACUUUUGGACUGAUUGUAGUCAAUCUGAAUUAGUGAGGUUCUUUUUUCCAACUGUCCUUGUUCAGUUCUCUACAUUAUCAUGCAUUUCCUUUGGUUUAAAGAUGUCAUGAUGUUCACCAAGGCAGAGAAGAAAUGUUUUAAAGUUGUCCCUUCAAUUGAAACAAGUACGACUUGGUCCUUAGUGCCUAUGCAGACAUGAAAACGGAAGGUCGAGAGGUUUAAAUAUGUCAUGAUGUUUACAAUUGCGGAUAUCCUGCUUCAGGUACUUGCCUGAUAACUCACAAUUUCAACGCAGAAGUUACUAAUCUAUAAGACAUGCCCUCUCUCGUUCAAUGAUGUCCUGAAAUUUUCACACAAAGCUUUGUAAUCUUGCCAAGUCACAAGAGAGCCAAGUAAUCAUGCGAAUUUUCAGAGAACUUCAAGUGGCAUGCCACCAUUUGCAAUGGUUGUGAUGUAGUGAUAAUUAAUAAACUGCAGGCCUUCUAAAUAUUCUAAAGUUGCAUAUCUAAGAGCAUAUUAUAUUUCUCAUAAACAACUGGAGUUAAGCUUCUAUCCUCUUCCUGUCUUGAAGGAAUUAUCUGUUGAGUAAGCUAUAGUCUCUUUGUUUGACUAGCUAGGCUGUGUUACAUACAUGUAUAAGAUGAUGCUUCUGUGGCUAUAACUGGUGCCUGCCGCGCUAAAUAGGAAACACCCUAUUAAUUACCCACCUCAAUUUCAUUAGUGCGUCCGGCCUGUGAAUUUUACCCCAGACUAUAAAUCCCCUCCAAACGAAACCCUAUAGGUGUACUAUGACUCUUAAUAGUGUAUCCUUAUAGAAGUCAGUGUGUUGGGUUAUUUUUUGGUGUGGUUAGAGAACUCGACUCCAUUUGGAAUGAGGGUUUGAGUCUUAUUUUUCCUAAACCUUUGAGAGGCAGAGCCAUGGAAAUAUUUUGUGCUCUCAUUCCUCUGGAUGGAAGCUCUAACUUUUCCUAUUUGUUUCCAAUAAGCUACUUUCUUCGAGAUUGUGCAAUGAACAAUUUUGAUGAUAAGGGAUCGUAGAGCCUCGGGUGACUAGCAUUAAGAUAGGAAGGCUGUUGCCGCCCUUGUCCCUUGCUGCUAGGUUGCCAUGGUGGCGUCAAUCACUGGCUUAUUUAGAACAAUAGUUAGUGGAUUUUGUGAUAAUGGUGAGGGCCGAGAGUGAGAGGGACGGGGUUGGGAUUGGUCUGAUGCAUGCGUGAAAUUAUUUCACCACUUCAGAAAAUAUGGCAAAUUGUAUUUCAUUAGAGAUUGAUUUACAGCAAAUUGCAUGAGCGAGUGGUUCAUGCAUUUUUCAUCAAGUCGUACAUUUUCUUGGUUAUGACAUAAGGGUAAAUGUACUGGUUGGUUGCUUCAAGACUUAAUAACAGACACUAUGACAAUGGCUCAAGAGAUAUUAGAUCUACCUUCUUGGCUGGGGGCAUUAUGGGUGGCGCACGCCUCAGCCCCCUUGAUGGCCGUGGUGGAUGGACAUGAACACGAGGGGGGAUCAGGGCGGAGAGCAGGGUGGUUGGCGGGGGACUCAUCCUUGGCAGUUCAUGGGAAAGUACGGUGUGAAGCAGAGGGGGCGCCAUGGCGAAGUGUGAAAGGAGGAAAAUGGUUCCCGGAAAGCAGGUAGAUCUACACCUUGAGAGAUGGCAUUUUGCGGUACAUUGUUUAGGUAAGGAUAUUGUGCUUUCUUCUGAAAACUCUAGACUGUCGACAAGAUUGAUUUGUGUUCCAUUUUUAAAAAAUUACUUAGAAUCCUGCUUCUGGCAAUACUACUAUGAACUGGCAUACCUCGUGAUCAUGAGAGGGUGACAAGUUCCUGAUCCCCAAGAACACCCUCAUGUGCGGCUGUCGUUCAUCGGACAAGACAUCUCUGACGACUUAGCCACACAGUGAACCUAAGUUUGUCAUGGGAGGAUGUCACCUUGGACUGGAGCAACAGACGUCAAAAAUUUACCAGGAAAAAAGGCUCACAAAUAAGAGUGACCCAAACACAAAUUGUCGUACGUUUGCAAUUAAACUCUUAGUAGCAGCUUGAUUCUUACUAUUGUUACUUUGGUGGUGGGUAUAAUUAGUCAUGUAGUAGCAUCUUAGCUUCAUCUUAUUUCUUAAGAACAUAUCUAGCUAUCAGAUCUUCAAGAGUACACCAUAAAAAUUGAAACGCCUAUCAGCUUCAUAGAAGAAAGUUAGUCUUAUGAUAGAAGAAAGGCCCAUCAGCCCUUACAGUGCCUUAUUGGUUAGCGACUGCUUUUCAGGCUCAACUGAUUACUGACUACGUCCAACAACAUAUGACUGACAUGACCAAGUAGAAGUAAAUUUCGUUGUGAUCAAGAUGGUGCCUUUAUUUUGGAAAACACGAUUGAGAUGGGUAGGCGCAUGGGCAUCUCACCGGAACAAAUAGACAUACUGAUUUCACUCAUACACAGGUUGAUUAUAUUAUACGGUCAACUCACGAAGUAGCCGGAUACCUUCUGCUUGAAGUUUGAAAGCCAUUAGCAUGCUAAAUUAUAUGGAUGUGCUGGUCUUGACAUGUGUGCACGUACAUUGUAAAAUAAACUUGAGUAAUGAUUAAUACCUUGUUUACUCUUUGUUUG